AAAGUCGUAACAAGGUUUCCGUAGGUGAACCUGCGGAAGGAUCAUCAUUGAAUCCAUCUCUACAAACCUUUGUGCACCGUAACUUACGCAGUUGUUGGCAGGUCAAGUCUUGCCUAGUGCAAGUCUGGUUAGUGGUGCGUUGCUUUCUAGGCUCUUGGGCUUGGGUGCACGCGUUGCUGACGCCUGCCAGCAGCUCCUGUUCAACACAAACUUUUGAUGUACCAAUGAAGUCUAAUGUAAAGUAAAUAACAAAAAAACAACUUUCAACAAUGGAUCUCUUGGUUCUC
rnacentral:misc_RNA from 1 species